GUGUCAGCAGCCGCGGUAAUACGAAGGGGGCUAGCGUUGCUCGGAAUUACUGGGCGUAAAGGGAGCGUAGGCGGAUAGUUCAGUCAGAGGUGAAAGCCCAGGGCUCAACCUUGGAACUGCCUUUGAUACUGGCUAUCUUGAGUUUGGGAGAGGUGUGUGGAACUCCGAGUGUAGAGGUGAAAUUCGUAGAUAUUCGGAAGAACACCAGUGGCGAAGGCGACACACUGGCCCAAUACUGACGCUGAGGCUCGAAAGCGUGGGGAGCAAACAGGAUUAGAAACCCUUGUAGUCC
rnacentral:rRNA from 1 species